rnacentral:rRNA from 1 species
AUGCUCUCUGGCUGCCCUGCCUUGGAAAGCCUUGAGCUGAAGGAAAACUGGGGCAUUAGUCGCCUCUGCAUCAGCUCCCAAACUCUUAAGAGUCUAGGCUUUUGCGCUGACAAGAGGAUUGGAGGUAUCAUUUUGCAAGAGCUAGUCAUCGAGGACGCCCCGUGCCUUGAGAGAUUGCUACAACUUGAUGCAAAGGGCGGCAGAGCGAGCAUACGGAUAAUCUGCGCACCUAAACUGAAGAUAUUGGGUAUGCUGUCUGAAGGCAUACCUGAACUCCACCUUGGAAGUACAUUUUUUCAGAAAAUGGUUGCUGUCAGUUUGACAGCCAAAAUGCACACCAUGAGCAUUUUGGUUCUUGGCUCUGCUGGUGCUAAUCUGGAUUCAGUGGUUAACUUCCUCAAGUGCAUGCUUCCCCUGCUUGGAGAGGCUUUAUGUCAUUGUGAGUAUGAAACAUAG